CCCCUCUCAGAAUUGCACCUGGAGAGUUUCCAGUACUCUACCAGUCUUGGCUAUGGGAGGGAGAGUCAAGCCGAGGCAUAACCAUUCCAUUCCUAGCUUGGGCAGUGGCUAGCGAGUGGAAGGCAAUCUGCUACAAGA